rnacentral:rRNA from 1 species
UACGUAGGGUGCGAGCGUUGUCCGGAUUUACUGGGCGUAAAGGGCGCGUAGGCGGCCAGCACAAGUCAGUUGUGAAAUCUCCGGGCUUAACUCGGAAAGGUCAACUGAUACUGUGCGGCUAGAGUGCAGAAGGGGCAACUGGAAUUCUCGGUGUAGCGGUGAAAUGCGUAGAUAUCGAGAGGAACACCUGCGGCGAAGGCGGGUUGCUGGGCUGACACUGACGCUGAUGCGCGAAAGCGUGGGGAGCAAACAGG